rnacentral:rRNA from 1 species
UACAGAGGGGGCAAGCGUUAUUCGGAAUUAUUGGGCGUAAAGGGCGCGUAGGCGGCUUGGCAAGUGGAUGGUGAAAUCCCUCGGCUUAACCGAGGAACGGCCGUCCAAACUGCUUCGCUUGAGACCGGGAGAGGUGAGUGGAAUUCCCAGUGUAGCGGUGAAAUGCGUAGAUAUUGGGAGGAACACCAGUGGCGAAGGCGGCUUCCUGGACACCAACUGACGCUGAGACGCGAAAGCGUGGGGAGCAAACAGG